UACAGAGGCCUCGAGCGUUAGGCGGAAUUACUGGGCUUAAAGCGUGCGUAGGCGGACGCCUAAGUACCUUGUGAAAUCCCACGGCUCACCCGUGGAACCGCUGGGUAUACUGGGCGUCUUGGGCCAUUCAGGGGCAACUGGAACAAGCGGUGGAGCGGUGAAAUGCGUAGAUAUCGGUUGGAACGCCGACGGUGAAAACAGGUUGCUGGGAAUGUGCCGACGCUGAGACACGAAAGCCAGGGGAGCAAACGGG
rnacentral:rRNA from 1 species